GACGAACGCUGGCGGCGUGCCUAAUACAUGCAAGUUGAGCGCUGAAGGUUGGUACUUGUACCAACUGGAUGAGCAGCGAACGGGUGAGUAACGCGUGGGGAAUCUGCCUUUGAGCGGGGGACAACAUUUGGAAACGAAUGCUAAUACCGCAUAAAAACUUUAAACACAAGUUUUAAGUUUGAAAGAUGCAAUUGCAUCACUCAAAGAUGAUCCCGCGUUGUAUUAGCUAGUUGGUGAGGUAAAGGCUCACCAAGGCGAUGAUACAUAGCCGACCUGAGAGGGUGAUCGGCCACAUUGGGACUGAGACACGGCCCAAACGCCUACGGGAGGCAGCAGUAGGGAAUCUUCGGCAAUGGACGAAAGUCUGACCGAGCAACGCCGCGUGAGUGAAGAAGGUUUUCGGAUCGUAAAACUCUGUUGGUAGAGAAGAACGUCGGUGAGAGUGGAAAGCUCAUCAAGUGACGGUAACUACCCAGAAAGGGACGGCUAACUACGUG
rnacentral:rRNA from 1 species